rnacentral:rRNA from 1 species
GGAUAGGAGACUUCAGAGAUGGAUUGGUGCCUUCGGGAACUCUGAGACAGGUGCUGCAUGGCUGUCGUCAGCUCGUGUUGUGAAAUGUUGGGUUAAGUCCCGCAACGAGCGCAACCCUUAUCCUUGUUUGCCAGCGAGUAAUGUCGGGAACUCCAGGGAGACUGCCGGUGAUAAACCGGAGGAAGGUGGGGACAACGUCAAGUCAUCAUGGCCCUUACAAGUAGGGCUACACACGUGCUACAAUGGCGCAUACAGAGGGCGGCCAACUUGCGAAGGUGAGCGAAUCCCAAAAAGUGGGUCGUAGUCCGGAUUGGAGUCUGCAACUCGACUCCAUGAAGUCGGAAUCGCUAGUAAUCGUGGAUCAAAAUGCCACGGUGAAUACGUUCCCGGGUCUUGUACACACCGA